UAGGGAAUCUUCCACAAUGGACGCAAGUCUGAUGGAGCAACGCCGCGUGAGUGAAGAAGGUUUUCGGAUCGUAAAGCUCUGUUGUUGGUGAAGAAGGAUAGAGGUAGUAACUGGCCUUUAUUUGACGGUAAUCAACCAGAAAGUCACGGCUAACUACGUGCUAGCAGCCGCGGUAAUACGUAGGUGGCAAGCGUUGUCCGGAUUUAUUGGGCGUAAAGCGAGCGCAGGCGGAAGAAUAAGUCUGAUGUGAAAGCCCUCGGCUUAACCGAGGAACUGCAUCGGAAACUGUUUGUCUUGAGUGCAGAAGAGGAGAGUGGAAUUCCAUGUGUAGCGGUGGAAUGCGUAGAUAUAUGGAAGAACACCAGUGGCGAAGGCGACUCUCUGGUCUGCAACUGACGCUGAGGCUCGAAAGCAUGGGUAGCGAACAGG
rnacentral:rRNA from 1 species